UGGUGCAGUGGGUAAGCAUUUGGCUGCUAACCAAAAGGUGGUGGUUUGAACCCACC
rnacentral:tRNA from 1 species